rnacentral:rRNA from 1 species
CAAAGGUGAGCCAGUACAGGAUGGACCCGCGUCUGAUUAGCUAGUUGGUAAGGUAACGGCUUACCAAGGCGACGAUCAGUAGCCGACCUGAGAGGGUGAUCGGCCACAUUGGAACUGAGACACGGUCCAAACUCCUACGGGAGGCAGCAGUGGGGAAUAUUGCACAAUGGGCGAAAGCCUGAUGCAGCAACGCCGCGUGAGUGAUGAAGGCCUUCGGGUCGUAAAACUCUGUCCUCAAGGAAGAUAAUGACGGUACUUGAGGAGGAAGCCCCGGCUAACUACGUGCCAGCAGCCGCGGUAAUACGUAGGGGGCUAGCGUUAUCCGGAUUUACUGGGCGUAAAGGGUGCGUAGGCGGUCUUUCAAGUCAGGAGUGAAAGGCUACGGCUCAACCGUAGUAAGCUCUUGAAACUGGGAGACUUGAGUGCAGGAGAGGAGAGUGGAAUUCCUAGUGUAGCGGUGAAAUGCGUAGAUAUUAGGAGGAACACCAGUUGCGAAGGCGGCUCUCUGGACUGUAACUGACGCUGAGGCACGAAAGCGUGGGGAGCAAACAGGAUUAGAUACCCUGGUGGUCCACGCUGUAAACGAUGAGUACUAGGUGUCGGGGGUUACCCCCUUCG